UACGAGGGGUGCGAGCGUUGCUCGGAAUUAUUGGGCGUAAAGGGUAGGUAGGUGGUCUCAUUUGUCUGAGGUGAAAGCCUUGAGCUUAACUCAAGAAGUGCCUUAGAAACGGUGGGACUAGAGUCCUGGAGAGGGUCGUGGAAUUCCCGGUGUAGCGGUGAAAUGCGUAGAGAUCGGGAGGAACACCAGAGGCGAAGGCGACGACCUGGACAGGCACUGACACUCAACUACGAAAGCAUGGGUAGCAAACAGG
rnacentral:rRNA from 1 species